GACGAACCGUGCGAACGUUGUUCGGAUUCACUGGGCUUAAAGGGCGCGUAGGCGGCCACCGCAAGUCGAUUGUGAAAUCUCCGGGCUUAACCCGGAAAGGUCAACCGAUACUGCGGGGCUAGAGUGCGGAGGGGGCAACUGGAAUUCUUGGUGUAGCGGUGAAAUGCGUAGAUAUCAAGAGGAACACCUGCGGCGAAGGCGGGUUGCUGGGCCGACACUGACGCUGAUGCGCGAAAGCUAGGGGAGCGAACGGG
rnacentral:rRNA from 1 species